rnacentral:misc_RNA from 1 species
GGAAAGCAAAAGAGGAAGUUAGUUGCCAAGCUUCGAGGACAUUUUGGUGAACUCUCAGUGCACCCAUUUGGUUCAUUUACUGUUGAAAAGUGCUUCACUGCUAGUAACUUGAAUCUGAGAGAGACAAUAGUAUCGGAAAUGUUACCUCUCCAACCAGAGUUAUCCAAGUCUAAGCAGGGACCUUACCUACUGAGGAAACUUGAUAUUGAUGGAUUUGCAAGGCAACCCGACCUGUGGAAGUCAAGACAAGCUUCACAACAAUCUGCUCUGAAAGAAUUUUAUGCUACAUUUGGACCAAAGGAAACCAAAUCAUUUGAAAAGGAGAGCUUUCUUGCUGAUACUGUUUCCAAAUCAAAGCCAGGAAAGUUAAAAGACAUUAGGAAAGAGAUUGAGACAACUUUAGCUUCUGCCAAAACUUCAAUUACCCCCUUCUUGGCUCAUCAGGUUUCAAAAAAAGUGAAAAGGUCUAAAGACGAGAAGAAAAGGCAUAGGAAAGAUGGCGAGUCAGAAUCUAAAAGAAAGAAGAUCAAAGUUUAACUGUUAUGCUUUUAGGUUCUUUAUUGAAUUUUACAUUACUGUAUCUGAGCUCUCAGUUUUGGUUACUUUCUGUUGUUUGAUCAGAAAUGAUGGAACUUCUAUUGGAUGCCGAAAACACUUAAUUUUGUUGAUUCUAGUUAAAUUAUUCAUUGGUAAGUUUAAAUGGUUGGUUCAUAUAUAUGUACUGUUAUGAAGAACUUAAUAGU